GCUCUGGUGGCUCAAUCGGGGAGAUCGUGGGACUUCUAGUCCAAUGGUUGCGGGUUCAAGUCCCGCUCAGAAUA
rnacentral:tRNA from 1 species